CAUUAUGAAGCUAACAUAGCAUUAACCUUUUAAGUUAAAGAUUAGGAGUCUAAGCCUCCUCAUAAUGAC
rnacentral:tRNA from 1 species